UCUAGUUGAAUAUUACUGACUCCAUUUUUAAGCAGAGCCAACUCUCAAGCCAAAAGUGAACUGAUGCACCAGCUCCUACUCUCCAACCAAAUAAAGAACCUCAGCAGCUAGUUUGACUACUGAUACCGGAACCGGUCUCUCUCUGGAUCUAAACCAGAAUCAGGGAAGACGUAAUUCAAAUAUGCACCUGAAAUUAAAUCACAUUGGUGUAUAAAGAGCUGAAUGUUCGAAAAGGAACCUUGAUUUUAGAAAACAGGGCAGGGAUUCUAUAACAUUCGAGAUCUACCUUACUUAUCGAGAAGGGGUAUUCUAUUAGAAAGGUAGCACACAAGCAUCCCAAUUCCAUAGAUUUGAGUUCAAGUGGCACAGGACCUCCAGCCAUGAGUUCCCUCACACUGAUGAUUC
rnacentral:lncRNA from 1 species